rnacentral:lncRNA from 1 species
GGGAAUCUGUUUAAAAUCAUUGACAGGCCUGAGAGUUUUCCAUACGGCCUGCACCCUAACCUCUGGGAAGAAAAUAUCCACAAUGAAAUUUCUACAAGAUUAGAGGAAGGAGAGAGGCAACGGGGAUUCCAUUUCUACUAGGAGUAUCAACCUCUGAGAGAAAAAUAUCCAUCUCUGUGGAUGUCAUCUGCUCUGCAGAAAACCCUUUCCUGGAACUCCCAGUCCGUCACUUUAGUGUUGAACCUGCCACCUUCAGAUUCACACUGCAGCACCUCAGGAACUGCUGUACUGAAGCUCCUGCACAUCUGUGAAGUGUGGAAGCUGUGGGUGAAAACAGUAAAUACUUCCAGUUGCCCGUGUGUGUCACUUAACCGAGGAAUCCUGGGAAAGUAAAAGUUGUCACCACAAAAUAGCUACUGUAGUGGAAGAACGUCUCUGUCAUUUUCUGUAAUGAAAAAUCUGGUAACAUCUGCACACUCAGAUUCAGAGUUAUUGGGUUAGACUCUAGUCCUUAAUACCAGAAAGGGUGAACUUAAUACCUAUUUUUAUAUGUGGAGGAAGAACAUGGGCAGUGGGAAGGGUAACUGACUUUUUUCAUUUUCAUUUUGAGUCUCUUUGUCUUUGAGAUAACUACUUAUUACCAAAGGAUUUUGGCAAAUUUUUCUCUCAUUUGUAAAAAAGCAAAUAAAGAAUCCUUUCUUUCUCAUUAUUAGCUGUGGCCUGGUUCUUGGCUCCACUCCAGGUGAACGUGAUGUCACAGAAGAAAAUGAAUCUCCGGCGAAUUGAGAAGUGCACUGACCUGGUGAAUGUAUGUGGGUUCUGGCUGGUGGUGCCAUUUUGGUAACAUCUACUGGUGCACCUUGGAAACCAUAGGUCAUCAUGAUGGUGAAUUUUAUAUUUCAAGUUGCCUG